rnacentral:rRNA from 1 species
UACAGAGGUCUCAAGCGUUGUUCGGAUUCAUUGGGCGUAAAGGGUGCGUAGGUGGUGCUGUAAGUCAGGUGUGAAAUCUCGGGGCUCAACCCCGAAACUGCACUUGAUACUGCAGUGCUCGAGGACUGGAGAGGAGAUUGGAAUUCAUGGUGUAGCAGUGAAAUGCGUAGAUAUCAUGAGGAAGACCAGUGGCGAAGGCGGAUCUCUGGACAGUUCCUGACACUGAGGCACGAAGGCCCAGGGGGAGCAAAACGGG